rnacentral:rRNA from 1 species
ACUAAGCGUACACGGUGGAUGCCCUGGCAGUCAGAGGCGAUGAAGGACGUGCUAAUCUGCGAUAAGCGUCGGUGAGGUGAUAUGAACCGUUAUAACCGGCGAUUUCCGAAUUGGGAAACCCAGUGUGUUUCGACACACUAUCAUUAACUGAAUCCAUAGGUUAAUGAGGCGAACCGGGGGAACUGAAACAUCUAAGUACCCCGAGGAAAAGAAAUCAACCGAGAUUCCCCCAGUAGCGGCGAGCGAACGGGGAGGAGCCCAGAGCCUGAAUCAGUGUGUGUGUUAGUGGAAGCGUCUGGAAAGGCGCGCGAUACAGGGUGACAGCCCCGUACACAAAAAUGCACAUACUGUGAGCUCGAUGAGUAGGGCGGGACACGUGGUAUCCUGUCUGAAUAUGGGGGGACCAUCCUCCAAGGCUAAAUACUCCUGACUGACCGAUAGUGAACCAGUACCGUGAGGGAAAGGCGAAAAGAACCCCGGCGAGGGGAGUGAAAAAGAACCUGAAACCGUGUACGUACAAGCAGUGGGAGCCUCUUAAUGGGGUGACUGCGUACCUUUUGUAUAAUGGGUCAGCGACUUAUAUUCUGUAGCAAGGUUAACCGAAUAGGGGAGCCGAAGGGAAACCGAGUCUUAACUGGGCGUUUAGUUGCAGGGUAUAGACCCGAAACCCGGUGAUCUAGCCAUGGGCAGGUUGAAGGUUGGGUAACACUAACUGGAGGACCGAACCGACUAAUGUUGAAAAAUUAGCGGAUGACUUGUGGCUGGGGGUGAAAGGCCAAUCAAACCGGGAGAUAGCUGGUUCUCCCCGAAAGCUAUUUAGGUAGCGCCUCGUGAAUUCAUCUCCGGGGGUAGAGCACUGUUUCGGCAAGGGGGUCAUCCCGACUUACCAACCCGAUGCAAACUGCGAAUACCGGAGAAUGUUAUCACGGGAGACACACGGCGGGUGCUAACGUCCGUCGUGAAGAGGGAAACAACCCAGACCGCCAGCUAAGGUCCCAAAGUCAUGGUUAAGUGGGAAACGAUGUGGGAAGGCCCAGACAGCCAGGAUGUUGGCUUAGAAGCAGCCAUCAUUUAAAGAAAGCGUAAUAGCUCACUGGUCGAGUCGGCCUGCGCGGAAGAUGUAACGGGGCUAAACCAUGCACCGAAGCUGCGGCAGCGACACUAUGUGUUGUUGGGUAGGGGAGCGUUCUGUAAGCCUGUGAAGGUGGCCUGUGAGGGUUGCUGGAGGUAUCAGAAGUGCGAAUGCUGACAUAAGUAACGAUAAAGCGGGUGAAAAGCCCGCUCGCCGGAAGACCAAGGGUUCCUGUCCAACGUUAAUCGGGGCAGGGUGAGUCGACCCCUAAGGCGAGGCCGAAAGGCGUAGUCGAUGGGAAACAGGUUAAUAUUCCUGUACUUGGUGUUACUGCGAAGGGGGGACGGAGAAGGCUAUGUUGGCCGGGCGACGGUUGUCCCGGUUUAAGCGUGUAGGCUGGUUUUCCAGGCAAAUCCGGAAAAUCAAGGCUGAGGCGUGAUGACGAGGCACUACGGUGCUGAAGCAACAAAUGCCCUGCUUCCAGGAAAAGCCUCUAAGCAUCAGGUAACAUCAAAUCGUACCCCAAACCGACACAGGUGGUCAGGUAGAGAAUACCAAGGCGCUUGAGAGAACUCGGGUGAAGGAACUAGGCAAAAUGGUGCCGUAACUUCGGGAGAAGGCACGCUGAUAUGUAGGUGAAGCGACUUGCUCGUGGAGCUGAAAUCAGUCGAAGAUACCAGCUGGCUGCAACUGUUUAUUAAAAACACAGCACUGUGCAAACACGAAAGUGGACGUAUACGGUGUGACGCCUGCCCGGUGCCGGAAGGUUAAUUGAUGGGGUUAGCGGCAACGCGAAGCUCUUGAUCGAAGCCCCGGUAAACGGCGGCCGUAACUAUAACGGUCCUAAGGUAGCGAAAUUCCUUGUCGGGUAAGUUCCGACCUGCACGAAUGGCGUAAUGAUGGCCAGGCUGUCUCCACCCGAGACUCAGUGAAAUUGAACUCGCUGUGAAGAUGCAGUGUACCCGCGGCAAGACGGAAAGACCCCGUGAACCUUUACUAUAGCUUGACACUGAACAUUGAGCCUUGAUGUGUAGGAUAGGUGGGAGGCUUUGAAGUGUGGACGCCAGUCUGCAUGGAGCCGACCUUGAAAUACCACCCUUUAAUGUUUGAUGUUCUAACGUGGGCCCGUAAUCCGGGUUGCGGACAGUGUCUGGUGGGUAGUUUGACUGGGGCGGUCUCCUCCUAAAGAGUAACGGAGGAGCACGAAGGUUGGCUAAUCCUGGUCGGACAUCAGGAGGUUAGUGCAAUGGCAUAAGCCAGCUUGACUGCGAGCGUGACGGCGCGAGCAGGUGCGAAAGCAGGUCAUAGUGAUCCGGUGGUUCUGAAUGGAAGGGCCAUCGCUCAACGGAUAAAAGGUACUCCGGGGAUAACAGGCUGAUACCGCCCAAGAGUUCAUAUCGACGGCGGUGUUUGGCACCUCGAUGUCGGCUCAUCACAUCCUGGGGCUGAAGUAGGUCCCAAGGGUAUGGCUGUUCGCCAUUUAAAGUGGUACGCGAGCUGGGUUUAGAACGUCGUGAGACAGUUCGGUCCCUAUCUGCCGUGGGCGCUGGAGAACUGAGGGGGGCUGCUCCUAGUACGAGAGGACCGGAGUGGACGCAUCACUGGUGUUCGGGUUGUCAUGCCAAUGGCACUGCCCGGUAGCUAAAUGCGGAAGAGAUAAGUGCUGAAAGCAUCUAAGCACGAAACUUGCCCCGAGAUGAGUUCUCCCUGACCCUUUAAGGGUCCUGAAGGAACGUUGAAGACGACGACGUUGAUAGGCCGGGUGUGUAAGCGCAGCGAUGCGUUGAGCUAACCGGUACUAAUGAACCGUGAGGCUUAACC